rnacentral:rRNA from 1 species
UACGUAGGGGGCAAGCGUUGUCCGGAAUCACUGGGCGUAAAGGGUGCGUAGGCGGGUUUUUAAGGCAGAGGUGAAAUCCUGGAGCUCAACUCCAGAACUGCCUUUGAUACUGAGAAUCUUGAGUUCGGGAGAGGUGAGUGGAACUGCGAGUGUAGAGGUGAAAUUCGUAGAUAUUCGCAAGAACACCAGUGGCGAAGGCGGCUCACUGGCCCGAUACUGACGCUGAGGCACGAAAGCGUGGGGAGCAAACAGG